UCGGUCUCGCAAUACUUUCCGUUGGCAUCAACAGCACUGCGGCGAGAACGACCGAUUACCUAUCCAAGUCUCGGUCGAGAAGGAUUUCUGAAUCCUUAUUGGUCGAGGUCAUCUCAUCAGCCUUCUCGGCGAAGUGAGGUGUUACGAGUUAUUACAUUCGGCACAUUGAGGGCCGAAUUUGAUAUUGAACUUCGUGAGAAUAGUAACCUUGUCUUCAGGUUCGAGAGCCCAAGAGGCCGAGACGUGUUCCUUUCUUGGCCGCAAUCGCAAGACGCAGAAGUCAGUAGCGCGACCCAACGCAACAUCAACAAAUUUACUCCUCGGCCGAGCUCGGCCGACGAGUUGGCACGCCCCGCAUUCACCGAAGGACGUAGUUAGCUUAUUAAUUACUCGGCCUGCGCGCCACGUAGGCUUGGUAGUUUUUAGGGUCAACAUUUUGGCACGCCCAGUGGGACCCAGUGCUAAACUACGAAGUUCACAUGAUCUAUCUCGAUCCGGCUUCAAGGGAUGAGUGUUAUCGCCUAUUAAAGGAGCAAAACAACUUCUCGAGAGUUUGAGAAGAAUUUCUGAAAGGCAAGAGGCCGGGGGGCAAAUCUCCACUCCGGCCACAACCAAUAUUCAGCCUAAGAAAAGUGAUAAUUUGGCCGAAGAACAAAGGCCACUUGUUGUUUCGGUAGAGACUGAAAAUAUAGUAGGCCUAGAAGAAAAAAUUCAAGUCCCUAAGCUAUAUACAAAAAUUGACUUGGAAAAAGAUUCGUCAAAAGAACGCUCCAGUGACGAACGAGGCCGAGAUAUUGGCCUAGCCCGAGAAACUACGCCAAUUGAUAUGAUUAUUGGCAAUAAAGCCGAUAUGGAGAAAUCCUGUUCGGCUAAGUUAUUUGAAUUAAAAGCCGAAAUUAUGCCUGGGGGGCAUAAUAAUUGUUCAGCGCAUUCGGCGGCCGAUAAAAAAUCUUUCGUCAAGUCAAACAUAUUUGGAGAUAGUAUUUUAUUCGGCCUUGCAAAAAUUCAAAGUGAAAGUUUUGAUACAAAAAGCCUUCGGCUUGGAAUAAAACAUCGUUGGCCUCCUCCAUUUAUAGUAGGGCCACUUUUGUUUUCUUUUGCUACAAAAUAAGAAUAAAUUAUUUUCUUAACCAUUCGGCUUUUUAGGCCGAUGCUUAAGAAAAUAAAGGGGGCAAUAAGAUGGUGCGGACUUAGAAAAACAAGAAAAAACAAGAUGGUGUACUCGGCAGACAAUUUUGGUCAAAUAAUGGUGUACUCGGCAGACAGUUUUGGUCGAAUGAAUUUGCGAGAGCAUGCAUGACAAUUGCUCGGCAGACAGUUUUGGUCAAAUGAAUUUAUGGGAGCAUGCAUGGUUGCGAAGCUUGCUCAAUUCAGUUUCGAUGUGCGGUUUAAUAUAUAUAUGUGUGUGUCAGAAUGACCCAUCACAUGAAACAGAAAGAGAGACGCAUACGGAAAAGACAAAGGAAAAUUCAUGAAGUUAUGGUAGGCUUCCACAUGGGCUAACCUUUUCGUUUGGUGAUGUAGUGAUCUGUGAAUUCCUAACAGCAUUAUUUGGCCGAAUACAAAUCUUUGGCCGAAUAAAACAUAGUUCGGCCGAAUAUAAUGGGUUAUAUAUAUAUAUAUAUAUAUAUAUAUAUAUAUAUAUAUAUAUAUAUAUAUAGGCUCUACAGCCAGUUCUUCUCGGUCUCAGCCCUAUUUACUCUCGACCCCAGUAUUUUUGACCGAUACUAGUGUUUUCUCGACCCCGGCAGUUGAGAGUUGGAGUAGUUCACGACACUGGCAGAGGGAGGUUAUGACAUUGGCAGAACAUAGGUGAUUUUAAUGCCGAGAGACAAAAUUUGUUUCGGCAAUACGACGAAGUGUUGUUGGCUACGAGCAAUUAAUUUCCUUAACCAUUCGGCUUACGAGCCGAAGCUCACGGAAACUAGGGGGCAAUGUUUGGACCUGAUUUUACACAUCGGCCUAAGCAAUCGAGGCCGUUGAGUAAGCAUGGUUCUCAACCGUUGGAUAAGAAAGUUUAGAUAUUAUUGUUAAGAGAUAAUAUUAUGAUUUUUAAUCAUAAUAAUUAUUUUUUUAAUAAGUUAUCUCGGUUUUUUAUGCAAAAUAAAUGGGAUGGAGGCAAGUAGAGUUGUGAUGGGGACGUGAGCUUUGAAUCAGGUUGGUUUGUUUUGCUGGACAUGCAUGCAUGGGAUGUAAAGAUAAUGAAGUGAUAGGGGAUAAAUCCAAACAUGCCAAAACGUGUAAUUUGCAAAAGAAUUGUGCAAUAUGGAGAUUCUAUCCUAAUGCAUGGUUUUUUGGGAUUGGUUUUGUGCACGUGGCAUGCGACAAUGGAGAUGAUGGUUUUGCAUGGUGAUGGCAAUAUGGGUUUAAAGGCUUCUCAUGUUUUUUAAUAAGAAGCCUAGGUGGGUUAUAUCUCUAGUGAGAUGUGAUAAAGCCUAGGUAGGCUUUAUUUAUCUGAAGGAUAUGUGCGGCGUAUUUGAUACGGGAUCAGGGUUUAUCUGAAGGAUAUGCGCAGCGUAUUUGAUACGGGAUCAAGGUCAAUUCCACAAAAUAGAGUUGCAGUUGGACUCUACAAAAUUAUUUGGCCGCGUCACACAACAUUUGCUCCUAUAAAUACAGAGGUAGUGGCAACGGAAGAAGGACCCCUGCAAAUCAAUACAAAAUUGCCCUGCGCAAAUUCUCACAACUUGUGAUUUUUCUUUUCCCUUUUUUCGCUGACACAUCUUCCGUUGGCAUCAACAGCACUGUGGAAGCAACCGGUGAUAUCUUAAGUCGGCAUAGAUAGCUCUGUCACCGUAGAAUCAGUCGGUCUCGCAAUACCUUCCAUUGGCAUCAACAGCACUGCGGCGAGAACGACCGAUUACCUAUCCAAGUCUCGGUCGAGAAGGAUUUCUGAAUCCUUAUUGGUCGAGGUCAUCUCAUCAGCCUUCUCGGCGAAGUGAGGUGUUACGAGUUAUUACAUUCGGCACAUUGAGGGCCGAAUUUGAUAUUGAACUUCGUGAGAAUAGUAACCUUGUCUUCAGGUUCGAGAGCCCAAGAGGCCGAGACGUGUUCCUUUCUCGGCCGCAAUCGCAAGACGCAGAAGUCAGUAGCGCGACCCAACGCAACAUCAACAAAUUUACUCCUCGGCCGAGCUCGGCCGACGAGUUGGCACGCCCCGCAUUCACCGAAGGACGUAGUUAGCUUAUUAAUUACUCGGCCUGCGCGCCACGUAGG
rnacentral:lncRNA from 1 species